GACAGAGGAUGCAAACGUUGCUCGGAAUUACUGGGCGUAAAGCGCGUGUAGGUGGCCUUGUCAGUCUGAUGUGAAAGCCCAGGGCUCAACCCUGGAAGUGCAUCGGAUACUACAAGGCUGGAGUACUGAAGAGGAUAGCGGAAUUCCCGGUGUAGAGGUGAAAUUCGUAGAUAUCGGGAGGAACACCAGUGGCGAAGGCGGCUAUCUGGGCAGAUACUGACACUGAGACGCGAAAGCGUGGGGAGCAAACAGG
rnacentral:rRNA from 1 species